GACGAACGCUGGCGGCGUGCUUAACACAUGCAAGUCGAACGGAAAGGCCCAGCUUUUGUGGGGUGCUCGAGUGGCGAACGGGUGAGUAACACGUGAGUAACCUGCCCUUGACUUUGGGAUAACUUCAGGAAACUGGGGCUAAUACCGGAUAGGAGCUCCUGCUGCAUGGUGGGGGUUGGAAAGUUUCGGCGGUUGGGGAUGGACUCGCGGCUUAUCAGCUUGUUGGUGGGGUAGUGGCUUACCAAGGCUUUGACGGGUAGCCGGCCUGAGAGGGUGACCGGCCACAUUGGGACUGAGAUACGGCCCAGACUCCUACGGGAGGCAGCAGUGGGGAGUAUUGCACAAUGGGCGGAAGCCUGAUGCAGCAACGCCGCGUGCGGGAUGACGGCCUUCGGGUUGUAAACCGCUUUCGCCUGUGACGAAGCGUGAGUGACGGUAAUGGGUAAAGAAGCACCGGCUAACUACGUG
rnacentral:rRNA from 1 species